rnacentral:lncRNA from 14 species
AUGGGGACACAAAUCCCAAGGAUUUGGGGACCCCCAUGUGACCAAUCCCAAGGAUUUGGGGACCCCCAAAACCCCAAUCUCAAGGAUUUUGGGGUCCAGGAGUUGGGGAAUAAAAUCCCAAUUAUUUGGGGACCCCCAGGACACCAACCCCAAAGAUUUGGGGAUCCUCACAUCACCAAUCCCAAAUAUUUUAGGGACCCCCCAGGAUUUGGGGACGUCAAUCCCAGUGAUUUGGGGACCCCCAUGUCACUGUUCCCAAGGAUUUUGGGGACCCCCAAGACACUGAUCCCAAGGAUUUGGGGGAUCCAGGAUUUGGGGACACCAAUCCCAAAAAUCUGGGGAUCCCCAGGACUCCAAUCCCAAAGGUUUGGGGACCCCCAGGACACUGAUCCCAAGGAUUUGGGGGUUCGGGAUUUGGGGACAUCAACCCCAAGGAUUUGGGGACCCCCAGGACACCAAUCCCAAAGAUUUGGGGACCCCCAGAAUUCCAAUCUCAAAGAUUUUGGGGGAUCCAGGAUUUGGGGACAUCAGUGCCAGGGAUUUGGGGACCCCCAGGAUUUGGGGACCCCCAGGAUUUGGGGACCCUCAUGUCACCGAUCCCAAGGAUUUGGGGACCCCCAGGAUUUGGGGACCCUCAUGUCACCAACCCCCAGGAUUUGGGGACCCCCAGGAUUUGGGGACCCCCAGGAUUUGGGGACCCCCAUGUCACCAACCCCCAGGAUUUGGGGACCCCCAGGAUUUGGGGACCCCCAUGUCACCAACCCCCAGGAUUUGGGGACCCCCAGGAUUUGGGGACCCUCAUGUCACCGAUCCCAAGGAUUUGGGGACCCCCAGGAUUUGGGGACCCUCAUGUCACCGAUCCCAAAGAUUUGGGGACCCCCAGGAUUUGGGGACCCUCAUGUCACCGAUCCCAAAGAUUUGGGGACCCCCAGGAUUUGGGAUCCCCUUUUUUCCCGAGCUGACCCCUGGGUGACCCCGGGAUUGUCCCCAAGGGCACGACCCCGGUGA